UACGUAGGGACCAAGCGUUGUCCGGAAUCAUUGGGCGUAAAGCGCGCGUAGGCGGCCCGGUAAGUCCGUUGUAAAAGUCGAAGGCUCAACCUUCGAAAGCCGAUGGAUACUGCCGGGCUAGAGUACGGAAGAGGCGAGUAGAAUUCCUGGUGUAGCGGUGGAAUGCGCAGAUAUCAGGAAGAACACCAAUGGCGAAAGCAGCUCUCUGGGACGGUACUGACGCUGAGACGCGAAAGCGUGGGGAGCGAACAGG
rnacentral:rRNA from 1 species